GUGCUUGCUUAGAUGGCACAUAUAUUCUAAGUUGGAAUGCUAUAGAGAUUAACAUGGUCCCUGAAUAAGGAUAAAAUAUAAAUUUAAGAAGUUCUCUAUAUUUUU
ensembl:snRNA U6 U6 spliceosomal RNA